rnacentral:rRNA from 1 species
CCUACGGGAGGCAGCAGUGAGGAAUAUUGGUCAAUGGGCGCGAGCCUGAACCAGCCAAGUAGCGUGCAGGAUGACUGCCCUAUGGGUUGUAAACUUCUUUUAUAAAGGAAUAAAGUGAGGCACGUGUGCCUUUUUGUAUGUACUUUAUGAAUAAGGAUCGGCUAACUCCGUGCCAGCAGCCGCGGUAAUACGGAGGAUUCGAGCGUUAUCCGGAUUUAUUGGGUUUAAAGGGAGCGUAGAUGGGUUGUUAAGUUAGUUGUGAAAGGUUGCGGCUCAACCGUAAAAUUGCAAUUGAUACUGGCAGGCUUGAGAACAGUUGAGGUAGGCGGAAUGCGUGGUGUAGCGGUGAAAUGCUUAGAUAUCACGAAGAACUCCGAUUGCGAAGGCAGCUUACUAAACUGCCACUGACAUUGAUGCUCGAAAGUGUGGGUAUCAAACAGGAUUAGAUACCCUUGUAGUC